AGCUCCAAUAGCGUAUAUUAAAGUUGCUGCAGUUAAAAAGCUCGUAGUUGGAUCUCGGGGUACCUGGUCUAGCCGGUAUAGCUCACGCUAAAACUGGUCUGACCCCCCAACGUGAGGUAUUCGUCUCCGGGUGCACUUCAUUGGGUGCUCGUGAGGGGCCUCGUAGUUACUGUGAAAAAAUUAGAGUGUUCAAAGCAGGCUCAUAUGUUCGGAUAGUCGUGCAUGGAAUAACUUAAUACGGGACCGGCGCCUUUCAGGUGGGUUCGGCCACCGGUCAAAAGAUUAAGAGGGACUUCCGGGGGCAUUGGUAUGGCGGGGUUAGAGGUGAAAUUCUUGGAUCCUCGCCAGACCAACAAAAGCGAAAGCAUUUGCCAAGAAUGUCUUCA
rnacentral:rRNA from 1 species